rnacentral:lncRNA from 10 species
UUCCGUUUUCCCCAUCUCUUUCAGGGACACCAAUCAGUCUUAGAUUCGCUCUCUUUACGUGAUCCCAUAUUUCUCGGAGGUUUUGUUCAUUGCUUUUCAUUCUUUUUUCUCUAUUCUUGUCUGCCAGUCUUAUUUCAGAAAGCCAGUCUUCAAGCUCUGAAAUUCUUUCCUCCGCUUUGUCUAUUCUGCUAUUAGUACUUGUGAUUGCAUUAUGAAAUUCUUGUAGUGUGUUUUUUCAGUUCCGUCAGGUUGGUUACAUUCUUCUCUACAUGGGCUAUUUUGUCUGUCAGCUCCUGCAAUGUUUUAUCAUGAUUUUUAGCUUGCUUGCAUUGGGUUACAAUGUACUCUUUUAACUCAGUGAAGUUCAUUUCUAUCCAUAUUCUGAAUUCUACUUAUGUCAUUUCAGCCAUCUCAGCCUCAGCCCAAUUCCGAACCCUUGCUAGAGAGGUGAUGCAGUCAUUUGGAGGAAAGAGGGCACUCUGGCUUCUUGAGUUUUCAGCAUUCUUGCACUGAUUCUUUCUCAUCUUUGUGGGCUUAUCUACCUUCAGUCUUUGAGGUUGCUGACCUUUGGAUUUUUUUUUUCUUUUAACAGUCUGGCCAUGUUUCUGUAGGGCUGCUGUACUUUGCUGGGCUUCUUCUCCAGUUCCUAGUCUCCUUGGAUUUUCCAGUACCUGGAGCUAUCACCAGUGAAGGCUGUGAAACAGCAAAGAUGUCAGCCUGCCUCUUCCUCUGGGAGCUCCGGCCCAGCGAGGUACAGACCUGUUGCCAGCCCAAAUGCGCCUGCAGGACAAGGCUGGAGACCCUGGUUGGGAGGUCUCACCCAGUCAGGAGGAACGGGAUCAGGGAACUGCUUAAAGAAGCAGUCUGUCCAUGCUUUCACAGAUCAGCUGUGCUGUGCUGGGGCACUGCUUCCACCCCUGGUUGGUGUGGGCUCUCCAAAGCCUGGAGGCCGGAACAGCUAAGUCGCCCAAACAGCAAAGAUGGUGGCCCCUCCCUCCCUCCGGGAGCUCUGUCCCAGGGAGAAUUCAAAUCUCUGUCAGCCAGAGAACACCAGUAGGGGUUGCUGGAGGCCUUGGUUGAAAAGUCCCACCCAGUGAGGAGGAACAGAUUGGGCACCUGCUUAAAGAAGCAGUCUGGCCAUGCUUCUGAAGAGCAGCUGUGCUGUGCUGUUCUGGGGUACCACUUCUGGGAGCUCUGUCCCAGAGAGCAGCCUGCCCUUCCCUGUACUAAAGGGAGCACAUUGUUGAGAAGGACCGGUUGCAAAUUUCCAAAAAGGAGAGUAAAAUAAUUAAUGAGUCAAGGUCUCAGGAGAGACAGAAGGUAAGGGGAGUCCUUCAGUAAGUGGGGAAAUUGAUUUGUUUUGUGUCCUCAUCUCUCCAGGGCCAUGAGCAUGUCCUUUGCUGGCCAUAAGUCAAUGCUGAUGACCUCAGUUAUAGUGUAAUCUUCAAGGCUAAUUUACGCAAAACUUCAGAAAUGGUAAACAUCCUCAUGAAGACUAAUGAUGACAUAUUUUAGGAGUGCAUAAUAGUAGGUAUAGAGAAAAAACUGCAGGGUAAAAUGUUAUUGCUGUUCUUAUUGCUAAAGGGCAUACUCCUUAAGAACCAAAGUUAAUUAUCAGUCCUUUGACCUAAGAGGAAAACAAAUUUCAGGGACUCCCCUAAAGAUUCCUAUGUAGUACAAAUAAAAUGCCAAAAUAUUUUGGAACACAUUUUGGAGCACUGGAUAGGUCAAUAAAAUAAUGUGUAAAUUGCCAAAUGUGAUCUAGGAACUCCCUGCAAACAUCAGAUUAGGCUCUAUUCUCUAUCUGAAUACUGACUUUGCUUUGCUUUGUAACUCCUAUCUUCACUAAUAAUGCCUUUUCCCCCCUCUUGUGUGCAUCCUAGCCUAUAUUCUCUUUCAUCAUUCUACAGUGGUCAAUGUGGUUAUUGUACAGCUUCACUUUCAAUGAAAGCUGAGGGAAAAGAAGCCUCAUACCCUGCCCCCCACCCGCCCCCGCCAAUACGUAAAAGAAGCCAUUUAAAAAAUAAAAGCAGCAAG